rnacentral:rRNA from 1 species
UACGUAGGGUGCGAGCGUUGUCCGGAAUUAUUGGGCGUAAAGAGCUCGUAGGCGGUCUGUCGCGUCGGAUGUGAAAACACGGGGGCUACAACCCCGUGCCUGCCUGAUUCGAUACGGGCAGACUAGAGUUCGGUAGGGGAGACUGGAAUUCCUGGUGUAGCGGUGAAAUGCGCAGAUAUCAGGAGGAACACCGGUGGCGAAGGCGGGAUCCUGGCCAGUACGUGACGCUGAGGAGCGAAAGCGUGGGGAGCAACAGGG